rnacentral:rRNA from 1 species
UACGUAGGGGGCGAGCGUUGUCCGGAUUUAUUGGGCGUAAAGAGCUCGUAGGCGGUUACGCAAGUCGGGUGGGAAAUCUCCAGGCUCAACCUGGAGCCUUCGCCCGAUACUGCGUUGACUCGAGUCCGGUAGGGGAGUGUGGAAUUCCCGGUGUAGCGGUGAAAUGCGCAGAUAUCGGGAGGAACACCAAUAGCGAAGGCAGCUCGCUGGGACGUUACUGACACUGAGGCGCGAAAGCGUGGGGAGCGAACAGG